rnacentral:misc_RNA from 1 species
AAAAAUAAAAUAAAAAUAGACGAGGGAAAAGUUUCCUUCAAAGAGGAAAAGGAUUCCCUUGUAGCAAGCAUUGGUAUUUGAAAAGCCACCGGUGCAACACAUCUUCCCGGCAGACAAACACGAUUGGAGGGUGAAAUUCAGAUUAAAAUAUUUAGAAACUGAAAAUGUGGAUUAAAAGUAAUACGAAUGGCACCUUUAAGA